ACAAGAAAUUUAAUAGAAGUUGUCAUCGGUUUGAGGGAGACUACUCUUAGGGGUAGGUCAGAGGCUUUUACACCUCCUUGUGAAUCUUCCUUAUACUGUUUGAAUUUCUAUUAUUAUGUACGUGAGAAUAAUCAUGGCAUAAUCAUAAAUCUUUAUCUUUGCCUUCAUUUUUUAGAUACGAAAUUACUUAAAUAUUAAUUUUUUAGGAAAUUAUUUUCUUUCAGGUGAAAGAUGGCAUACUUCAACUGCAUUUGGGGAAGACGCAAGGCGCGCUGAAUAUACAGGUGUAUAUCAGAGAUGAGGAGAAUUCUGAGCCUUGUUUGUGGCAAUUCUACCAGAAGGGGACUGCAUGGCACCACCACAGAUUUCAUAAAUUACCCUGAACAUACUCAGUUAUUCACUAUUUGUUCGGAGCAAAGCAUGAAAUAGUCUUCAAACACAUGAAUUACAGAUUUUGAGAGAGUGACAUUGUUUAAACAUAAAGUGCAACAGUGCUGAAGUUUUCA